rnacentral:rRNA from 1 species
CCUACGGGAGGCAGCAGUGAGGAAUAUUGGUCAAUGGACGAGAGUCUGAACCAGCCAAGUAGCGUGAAGGAUGACUGCCCUAUGGGUUGUAAACUUCUUUUAUAUGGGAAUAAAACGUUCCACGUGUGGGAUUUUGUAUGUACCAUAUGAAUAAGGAUCGGCUAACUCCGUGCCAGCAGCCGCGGUAAUACGGAGGAUCCGAGCGUUAUCCGGAUUUAUUGGGUUUAAAGGGAGCGUAGGUGGAUUGUUAAGUCAGUUGUGAAAGUUUGCGGCUCAACCGUAAAAUUGCAGUUGAAACUGGCAGUCUUGAGUACAGUAGAGGUGGGCGGAAUUCGUGGUGUAGCGGUGAAAUGCUUAGAUAUCACGAAGAACUCCGAUUGCGAAGGCAGUUCACUGGACUGCAACUGACACUGAGGCUCGAAAGUGGGGGUAUCAAACAGGAUUAGAUACCCCAGUAGUC